AGAGUAACUGUUCAAGGGUUGACGGUAUUUAACCAGAAAGCCACGGCUAACUACGUGCCAGCAGCCGCGGUAAUACGUAGGUGGCAAGCGUUGUCCGGAUUUAUUGGGCGUAAAGCGAGCGCAGGCGGUUUUUUAAGUCUGAUGUGAAAGCCUUCGGCUUAACCGGAGAAGUGCAUCGGAAACUGGGAGACUUGAGUGCAGAAGAGGACAGUGGAACUCCAUGUGUAGCGGUGGAAUGCGUAGAUAUAUGGAAGAACACCAGUGGCGAAGGCGGCUGUCUAGUCUGUAACUGACGCUGAGGCUCGAAAGCAUGGGUAGCGAACAGGAUUAGAUACCCUGGUAGUCCAUGCCGUAAACGAUGAGUGCUAAGUGUUGGAGGGUUUCCGCCCUUCAGUGCUGCAGCUAACGCAUUAAGCACUCCGCCUGGGGAGUACGACCGCAAGGUUGAAACUCAAAGGAAUUGACGGGGGCCCGCACAAGCGGUGGAGCAUGUGGUUUAAUUCGAAGCUACGCGAAGAACCUUACCAGGUCUUGACAUCUUCUGCCAAUCUUAGAGAUAAGACGUUCCCUUCGGGGACAGAAUGACAGGUGGUGCAUGGUUGUCGUCAGCUCGUGUCGUGAGAUGUUGGGUUAAGUCCCGCAACGAGCGCAACCCUUAUUAUCAGUUGCCAGCAUUCAGUUGGGCACUCUGGUGAGACUGCCGGUGACAAACCGGAGGAAGGUGGGGAUGACGUCAAAUCAUCAUGCCCCUUAUGACCUGGGCUACACACGUGCUACAAUGGACGGUACAACGAGUUGCGAAGUCGUGAGGCUAAGCUAAUCUCUUAAAGCCGUUCUCAGUUCGGAUUGUAGGCUGCAACUCGCCUACAUGAAGUUGGAAUCGCUAGUAAUCGCGGAUCAGCAUGCCGCGGUGAAUACGUUCCCGGGCCUUGUACACACCGCCCGUCACACCAUGAGAGUUUGUAACACCCAAAGCCGGUGAGAUAACCUUCGGGAGUCAGCCGUCUAA
rnacentral:rRNA from 2 species